CUGCCCCUUUAAGACAAAAAAAAGCUUCUUACCUGACUUGCUUUUCAAAGAUGUCUGGAAAUGUACAUGUUUUGUGCUGUUGUAGGAAGCAAUCACUCCCCUAUUGCUGACUAGAAAUGAUCUAAACCUGGGCUAAUAACUCACUAACGAGCAAAGGAUAUCAACAAAAUGUUCACCAUGGCUACAUGCAGCUCUCAUCUCAACUCAGGACCACUCAUGCUGUAAACACAGUCCAGUUCAAAGUACAUUUUUAUUUAACUAGGCCCAUCCCUCCCCCCGUAUCAUCGAUGGCCAGCGAGCAUACACGGUGAGAUGCCUCCUGAGGGUUUGACCACAGGGCAGUGGUUUCCAGUACCUGGUUGACUGGUAGUGUUAUGGUCCGGAUUAGAGGUCUUGGGUUCCCGCUAAAGACACCCUGGACCCGGGCCUCAUCGCUGAUUUUCACCGCCGACACCCCAGUCAGCCAGGUAUGUGCCCAGGUAGGAUGCCAGGUGGCAUCCCUAGAGAGGGGGGUGCUGUCACGCUCUGAUCUGUUUCACCUGUCUUUGUGAUUUUCUCCACCUACCUCCAGGUGUCAUCUGUUUCCUCAUUAGUCCUAGGGUAUUUAUUCCUGUGUUCCCUGUUUGUCUGUUGCCAGUUCGUUUUGUCAAGUCAACCAGCGUGGUUUACUGUUUUCCUGCCUUUUCACUGUUUUUACUAGUCCUCCCGGUUUUGACCCUUGCCUACCUUGACUCUGAACCCACCUGCCUGACCAUACUGGCUGCCCUGACCUCGAGUCUGCCUGCCACUCUGUACCUCCUGGACUCUGACCUUGUUUAUGAUCUUUAGCCUGUCCAAGACCAUUCUCUUGCCUGCCCCUUGGAUCAUAAUAAAUAUCAGAGAUUCCAACCAUCUGCCUCCCGUGUCUGCAUCUGGGUAUCGUCCUGUGCCCUUAUAAUUAUACUGUAUUAACUAUACUAGAAAUGAGAUAUGGACAGAACAUGUAUUAACUAUACUAGAAAUGAGAUAUGGACAGACCAUGUCCAAGACCAUUCUUGAGCUCUAGUAUAGUAUUAACUAUACUAGAAAUGAGAUAUGGAUAGACCAUGUAUUGUAUUAACUAUACUAGAAAUGAGAUAUGGAUAGACCAUGUAUUAACUAUACUAGAAAUGAGAUAUGGAUAGACCAUGUAUUGUAUUAACUAUACUAGAAAUGAGAUAUGGACAGAACAUGUAUUAACUAUACUAGAAAUGAGAUACGGAUAGACCAUGUAUUGUAUUAACUAUACUAGAAAUGAGAUAUAGACAGAACAUGUAUUAACUAUACUAGAAAUGAGAUAUGGACAGAACAUGCACUUUUGACAAAAAUGUGCUUCAUAAAAAUAUUGUUUUUGUUGAGUAAUAUGAUGUCAAAUGUAUUGUAUAAUAUUAAAGUGCUUAUUUUAACAUCUGUUUACACUACUUGACUGUACUGUACGUCUCUGGAACUCAAAAUGGCUUCACAUUUGUAAUUGUAUUUAUUAAGGAUCCCCAUUAGUUCCUGCCAAGGCAGCAGCUACUCUUCCUGGGGUUUAUUAUGGAUCCCCAUUAGUUCCUGCCAAGGCAGCAGCUACUCUUCCUGGGGUAUUUUUAUCUUUUUUUAAAAUCUGAUUCUACUGCUGCAGUUACUUGAUGUGGAAUAGAGUUCCAUGUAGUCAUGGCUCUAUGUAGUACUGUGCACCUCCCAUAGUCUGUUCUGGACUUGGGGACUGUGAAGAGACCUCUGUUGGCAUGUCUUGUGGGGUAUGCAUGGGUGUCUCAGCUGUGCGCCAGUAGUUCAAACAGACAGCUCAGUGCAUUCAACAUGUCAAUACCUCUCAUAAAUACAACUAGUGAUGAAGUCAAUCUCUCCUCCACUUUCAGAGAUUGACAUGCAUAUUAUUAAUAUUAGCUCUCUGUGUACAUCCAAGGGCCAGCCGUGCUGCCCUGUUCUGAGCCAAUUGCAAUUUUCCUAAGUCCCUUUUUGUGGCAUCUGACCACACGACUGAACAGUAGUCAAGGUGCGACAAAACUAGGGCCUGUAGGACCUGCCUUGUUGUUAGUGCUGUUAAGAAGGUAGUAACUAGGGCCUACCUUGUUGAUAGUGUUGUUAAGAAGGUAGAAACUAGGGCCUGGAAGACCUGCCUUGUUGAUAGUGUUGUUAAGAAGGUAGAAACUAGGGCCUGAAGGACCUGCCUUGUUGUUAGUGCUGUUAAGAAGGUAGAAACUAGGGCCUGUAGGACCUGAUUUGUUGAUAGUGUUGUUAAGAAGGUAGAAACUAGGGCCUGUAGGACCUGCCUUGUUGAUAGUGUUGUUAAGAAGGUAGAAACUAGGGCCUGUAGGACCUGCCUUGUUGAUAGUGUUGUUAAGAAGGUAGAGCAGUGCUUUAUUAUAGACAUACUUCUCCCCAUUUUAGCUACUGUUGUAUCAAUAUGU
rnacentral:lncRNA from 1 species